GACCAGUAACAACACCCUGAUCAAAGAGAGAGACCAGCUACAGACUAGCAACAGCACCCUGACCAAACAGAGAGACCAGCUACAGACCAGUUACAACACCCUGACCAAAGAGAGAGACCAGCUACAGACCAGAUACAACACCCUGACCAAAGAGAGAGACCAGCUACAGAAAGAGAUAGAACGUCUGAAACAAUCUUUAGUUGAGAAAGUGUGUCCGCAAGAAUGGAAGAAGCUUGGUAGCAGUUGUUACUACGUCUCUACUGAGUACAAAUCCUGGGAGGAGAGCAGACAGGACUGCAGAAAUAGAGGAGCAGACCUGGUGGUCAUCAACAGCGAAGAGAAACAGACAUUGGUCAAUUGGUUAUGUGGAGUAUAUGACUAUGUCUGGAUUGGUCUGACUGACUCUGUUACUGAGGGGACCUGGAAAUGGGUGGACGACACACCACUGACCACAAAGUA